rnacentral:rRNA from 1 species
UACGGGGGGAGCAAGCGUUGUUCGGAUUUACUGGGCGUAAAGGGCGCGUAGGCGGCUUCGCGCGCCCGACGUGAAAGCCCCCGGCUUAACCGGGGAGAGUCGUUGGGGACGGCGGAGCUUGAGGGCGGGAGAGGUCGGUGGAAUUCCCGGUGUAGUGGUGAAAUGCGUAGAGAUCGGGAGGAACACCUGUGGCGAAGGCGGCCGACUGGGCCGACCCUGACGCUGAGGCGCGAAGGCGUGGGGAGCGAACGGG